CCCCGGUAAACGGCGGCCGUAACUAUAACGGUCCUAAGGUAGCGAAAUUCCUUGUCGGGUAAGUUCCGACCUGCACGAAUGGCGUAACGACUUCCCCGCUGUCUCAAAUGUGGACUCAGCGAAAUUGAACUGUCUGUGAAGAUGCAGACUUCCCGCGGUUAGACGGAAAGACCCCAUGCACCUUUACUAUAGCUUCGCACUGGCAUCAGGAUUGCGAUGUGCAGGAUAGGUGGUAGGCAUUGAAGCGGGGACGCCAGUUCCCGUGGAGCCAUCCUUGAGAUACCACCCUUCGCACUCUUGAUGUCUAACCGCGGCCCGUUAUCCGGGUCCGGGACCCUGCGUGGUGGGUAGUUUGACUGGGGCAGUCGCCUCCCAAAGAGUAACGGAGGCGCGCGAAGGUUGGCUCAGAGCGGUCGGAAAUCGCUCGUUGAGUGCAAUGGCAGAAGCCAGCCUGACUGCAAGACUGACAAGUCGAGCAGAGACGAAAGUCGGCCAUAGUGAUCCGGUGGUCCCGAGUGGAAGGGCCAUCGCUCAACGGAUAAAAGGUACGCUGGGGAUAACAGGCUGAUGAUGCCCAAGAGUCCAUAUCGACGGCAUCGUUUGGCACCUCGAUGUCGGCUCAUCUCAUCCUGGGGCUGGAGCAGGUCCCAAGGGUAUGGCUGUUCGCCAUUUAAAGAGGUACGUGAGCUGGGUUUAGAACGUCGUGAGACAGUUCGGUCCCUAUCUGCCGUGGGUGUAGGAUACUUGAGAGGAGUUGCCCCUAGUACGAGAGGACCGGGGUGAACGUUCCACUGGUGGACCAGUUGUCGUGCCAACGGCAGUGCUGGGUAGCUAUGAACGGACAGGAUAAACGCUGAAGGCAUCUAAGCGUGAAGCCCCCCUCAAAACAAGGUAUCCCUUGAGAGCCGUGGAAGACCACCACGUCGAUAGGCCGGAGAUGUAAGCGCAGCAAUGCGUUCAGUUGACCGGUACUAAUGGCUCGAUUGGCUUGAUUUG
rnacentral:rRNA from 1 species